rnacentral:rRNA from 1 species
UACAGAGGGUGCGAGCGUUAAUCGGAAUAACUGGGCGUAAAGGGCGCGUAGGCGGUUUUGAAAGUAAGAUGUGAAAGCCCUGGGCUCAACCUAGGAAUUGCAUCUUAAACUUUGAGGCUAGAGUACAGUAGAGGGUGGCGGAAUUUCCGGUGUAGCGGUGAAAUGCGUAGAGAUCGGAAGGAACAUCAGUGGCGAAGGCGGCCACCUGGACUGACACUGACGCUGAGGCGCGAAAGCGUGGGGAGCAAACAGG